GUCAUACUCAGUACCAUCAGCACUGCAAUCAUUGUCACCAUUGUAAUCAGCAUCAUCAUUGUGGUGGCUAUUGUAGUUGGCAUAAUAGCAUGUUGUGUGUGUGGCUGUGUGUGCUGCGCUAAGGCCACGAACACUCGCCCGGAGACGAGGACUUACGUAACCACACAACCAGUACAGCAGCCUCAAGUUGUUGUUCAACAAGCACACCCACCUCCACAGGGCGGAUAUCCUCCACAGGGCGGAUAUCCCCCACAACAAGCAGCAUACCCUCCCGCUGGUGGUGCGUAUCCACCUACAGUAGGCGAGAAACCACCAAGUUACCCUAUAUAAUUUACCUAAUUAUAAAGGCAGAAUCAACUGAUUUCUUCAUUUUACAAGAAUUUUAAAACAUUACCUAAUUACAGAUCGUUUAUAAACAGCAUAAAUAAUUAUUAUGCUUUUAGUUAUGUGCUUUAUUAGUUUAGUCUUUGGCCUAUUCAUUUAUUUAAUGCUUUUUGUGAACACAUCAUUUGACUUGUGCAUGUUCGAAUAUUAUAUCGUCAUCAUAUUUGUGAUAUCAUUUGCAUAUAUCACAAAAUUAAUAGAAUUUUGGGUGUUUUGGUUAUUAACGCAUAUUCCAUUUACUAUCAAUAUAUGCUACAUUGUAGGCUUAUGAGUGUUUUAUUAUUAUUAUUAUUAAUAAUAAUAAUAAUAAUAAUAAUAAUAAUAAUAAUAAUAAUAAUAAUAAUAAUAAUAAUAAUAAUAAUAAUAAUAAUAUAUGUAAUGUUAUAUAGCACACAUAUCCAUCUAAUGUAAGAUGCUCAGGGCGCUAUAUGUGGACUAAGAACUUUUUCAAUGAUAUUUUUCGCUCCUUAGAGUCUCUUCGUGUUUAGUCUGUGCUACCCGGUAAGCCGGUACCAGCAACUCUCUUUGUCCCCUACAGGGGCUGUCUGUCAGUGGCGUAUCUAGGGGAGGGCGCGAGUGGGAAGGGAGCGCACGCCUCCCCCAAAAUUACUCGCGCUUCCCAGUGAAAAAAUCACGGUCAGGUACCGGUAGUUAAAAAUCACCUAAAAUAACCAUAUUUUGCGAAUUAGCGCCCCUCAACUGAUCAUCGAGCCCCACCCCCCAUCAACUACCUAUUUCAAUACCCCACUGCUGUCUGUCCAGUACACCGGGGUACCCCCUACUCGUCUCGAAGGAUGUACUGGGUUCUUUAUAUAUUGCACACGUAGGGUACAAAAGGAUAGUUUUUAUGGCAUAGUAUGGUUCAAAUUGUGUCUUUUUAGACCACAAUAUUUUGGAUUGACAAUCAAAGUAACGUUAUUUCGAUAGGUAGAUUAUUAUUUUGUUAAACUUUUGAUCCGCCGACCUCAUUGGGUGUCGUUUGUAUAUACAUUGGGCCUACGGUUUAUAGUCCUUAUCCCCAAAAGACUUGUUCUACCACCAGAAAUAUAGACGAGCGUGCCGUUCGAAUCAGCGCCAAUAUUAUGGCUAUAGCUUGCGGCGCCCAUGCUAACCGCUGCACCAUUCGACUCGCAUAAACCAAAUUUUUCGUUAAUAUUGACAAUAUUAAUUAUAACGUUUCUGUUAUGAGCAUCAUAAACCUUACAUACUAGUCUGUAUUUGUUGUAUAUUUUGUUUUUCAUUUUGUAAAUAAAAGACGCAACAAAGA
rnacentral:lncRNA from 1 species